rnacentral:rRNA from 1 species
GACGAACCGAGCGAACGUUGUUCGGAAUAACUGGGCUUAAAGGGCGCGUAGGCGGGCCGCCAAGUUCGAGGUGAAAUCCUCCGGCUCAACCGGAGAACUGCCUCGAAUACUGGAGGCCUCGAGGCGGGUAGGGGCACGCGGAACUGUGGGUGGAGCGGUGAAAUGCGUUGAUAUCCACAGGAACUCCGGUGGCGAAGGCGGCCUUCUGGACAGUGACUGACGCUGAGACGCGAAAGCGUGGGGAGCAAACAGG